rnacentral:rRNA from 1 species
GACGAACGCUGGCGGCGUGCUUAACACAUGCAAGUCGAACGGAAAGGCCCCUUUGGGGGUACUCGAGUGGCGAACGGGUGAGUAACACGUGAGUAACCUGCCCUUGACUUCGGGAUAACUUCAGGAAACUGGGGCUAAUACCGGAUAGGAAUCCUUGCUGCAUGGUGGGGGUUGGAAAGCUUCGGCGGUUUUGGAUGGACUCGCGGCUUAUCAGCUUGUUGGUGGGGUAGUGGCUUACCAAGGCUUUGACGGGUAGCCGGCCUGAGAGGGCGACCGGCCACAGUGGGACUGAGAUACGGCCCAGACUCCUACGGGAGGCAGCAGUGGGGAAUAUUGCACAAUGGGCGGAAGCCGGAUGCAGCAACGCCGCGUGCGGGAUGACGGCCUUCGGGUUGGAAACCGCUUUCAGCAGGGGCGAAGCUUGUGGUGACGGUACCUGCAGAAGAAGCACCGGCUAACUACGUG